ACUGGCAAUAUAAAUAAUGUUGUUCAUCGUUUAUAUUGUUUAUAACAUCGUCAGUUUUUAUAUGCAUUUAAUAUUUUUAAAAAUAGUUCAAAAGCUGUCAAAAUAAAAUGGUGAAUUGAGUUUAAACCAGAAAAGAUAUAAACGUAAUCUUUGGGAUUCAACUUGUAAGGAUGUUCCAAGAACCACUUAGUUGGAGAAGGAAAACUGUGCCGUUCAUUAACAAGUCCUGUGCUUUAUAAUAUAUUAAAAAAUGGAAGGACGUGAAGAAAACAGGUUUGUAAAUGAUGUUGUACAUCAUGCAGAUAGCUCAGAAGAAGAAGCAGGAAUGUUUGACUGGAAAUAUAAACGAUGUUGUACAUAAUGCAGAUAGCUUAGGCAAAAAAGAGAUUGGUGAAAUGGAGAAUGAGACUAACUAGGGUGAAAAAAAAUGAAUAUUAAUAUGUGAAUGGUACUUUGUUUAACAUCUACCUGUUUCUACAGAUACAGUACAGACGCAUUUAUAAAUGGGCUUGAUGUUUUUUUGAAUUAAAUAUGUUGUAUUGA